rnacentral:rRNA from 1 species
UAGGGAAUCUUCCACAAUGGGCGCAAGCCUGAUGGAGCAACACCGCGUGAGUGAAGAAGGGUUUCGGCUCGUAAAGCUCUGUUGUUAAAGAAGAACACGUAUGAGAGUAACUGUUCAUACGUUGACGGUAUUUAACCAGAAAGUCACGGCUAACUACGUGCCCG